rnacentral:rRNA from 1 species
UACAGAGGGGGCAAGCGUUGUUCGGAAUUACUGGGCGUAAAGGGCGCGUAGGCGGCCGCCUAAGUCAGACGUGAAAUCCCUCGGCUCAACCGGGGAACUGCGUCUGAUACUGGGUGGCUUGAAUUCGGGAGAGGGAUGCGGAAUUCCAGGUGUAGCGGUGAAAUGCGUAGAUAUCUGGAGGAACACCGGUGGCGAAGGCGGCAUCCUGGACCGGUAUUGACGCUGAUGCGCGAAAGCCAGGGGAGCAAACGGG